rnacentral:rRNA from 1 species
AACGAACGCUGGCGGCAUGCCUAACACAUGCAAGUCGAACGAGACCUUCGGGUCUAGUGGCGCACGGGUGCGUAACGCGUGGGAACCUGCCCGUAGGUUCGGAAUAACUCCCCGAAAGGGGUGCUAAUACCGGAUAAUGUCUUCGGACCAAAGAUUUAUCGCCUUUGGAUGGGCCCGCGUUGGAUUAGCUAGUUGGUAGGGUAAAAGCCUACCAAGGCGACGAUCCAUAGCUGGUCGGAGAGGAUGAUCAGCCACACUGGGACUGAGACACGGCCCAGACUCCUACGGGAGGCAGCAGUGGGGAAUAUUGGACAAUGGGCGAAAGCCUGAUCCAGCAAUGCCGCGUGAGUGAUGAAGGCCUUAGGGUUGUAAAGCUCUUUUACCCGGGAUGAUAAUGACAGUACCGGGAGAAUAAGCACCGGCUAACUCCGUG